rnacentral:lncRNA from 1 species
CUUUAUAGGGAAGUCUCUGCAACAUCAAUUUUCAACAACAUCAAUUUUCAACAAAAAAUCUAUAGUUGAGGGGGCAUCAUAGCCAAUUGAAAUUAUACUCGACAAAGGUAAGUUAUUAGACGGCACAAUAAUAAUAUCAUGAAGAGCUACAUGGGGUAGAUGAGUAGGGUGCCAAGUCAGCUAAUCAGCCCAAUUUCCUUGAACUAGGGGAAUCAAUAGGAUUUGGGUCAUCAGAUUUGUCACACCCCC